rnacentral:rRNA from 1 species
UAGGGAAUUUUGCGCAAUGGACGAAAGUCUGACGCAGCAACUCCGCGUGAGGGAUGAAGGUCUUCGGAUUGUAAACCUCUGUUGACAGGGAAGAAAAGCGCCAUGAAGAAUGGCGUCUGACGGUACCUGUCGAGGAAGCACCGGCUAACUACGUGCCAGCAGCCGCGGUAAUACGUAGGGUGCAAGCGUUAUUCGGAAUUACUGGGUGUAAAGGGAGUGUAGGCGGGAAAGUAAGUUAGAAGUGAAAUGCACGGGCUCAACCUGUGACGUGCUUUUAAUACUGCUUUUCUUGAGUGUUGGAGAGGUAAGUGGAAUUCCAGGUGUAGCGGUGGAAUGCGUAGAUAUCUGGAAGAACACCAGUUGCGAAGGCGGCUUACUGGCCAAACACUGACGCUGAGGCUCGAAAGCUAGGGGAGCAAACAGG